rnacentral:rRNA from 1 species
GACCGCCGCGUGCUUAAAUCGGAGGAAGGUGCGGGCCACGGUAGGUCAGUAUGCCCCGAAUUUCCCGGGCUACACGCGGGCUACAAUGAAUGGGACAAUGGGUCCCUCCCCUGAAAAGGGCUGGUAAUCUCACAAACCCAUCCGUAGUUCGGAUCGAGGGCUGUAACUCGCCCUCGUGAAGCUGGAAUCCG